AUUGAACGCUGGCGGCAGGCCUAACACAUGCAAGUCGAGCGAGCGGAGGACGGGGGAGUAAUGUCUGGGAAACUGCCUGAUGGAGGGGGAUAACUACUGGAAACGGUAGCGAAUACCGCGCACCCUCCGGUGUGCCCAGAUGGGAUUAGCUAGUGGGUGGGGUAACGACUCACCUAGGCGACGAUCCCUAGCUGGGCUGGGAGGAUGACCAGCCACACUGGAACUGAGACACGGUCCAGACUCCUACGGGAGGCAGCAUGGGGGAAUAUUGCACAAUGGGCGAAAGCCUGAGGCAGCCAUGCCGCGUGUGUGAAGAAGGCCUUCGGGUUGUAAAGCACUUUCAGCGGGGAGGCGUUACCCGCAGAAGAAGCACCGGCUAACUCCGUGCCAGCCGCCGCGGUAAUUC
rnacentral:rRNA from 1 species